GUAGAUCUGCGAUGACAGUCAACUGAUCGUUGAAUCCAUUCCAAUUUGGAAUUUUCUUAGUUUUUCCGGCAUUAAUUGAUAAGUCGAAGACAAUCUGAUUCAAAUAUGUAUAAGAAAGGGAGAGCAGGUAAAGGAGGAGGAAUGAGAAGAGUUGAGUGUUCCAUGUCCAGGAGAGAUGACACCGGGUUCAUGUCUCAUAUCUUUAUAGGGAAGAAUGAGAAUCUGGUGUCAUCUCUUCUAGACAAGGAGCUUUAGUCCAACUAAAGCAUCAGCUAUGAAUUUCCACUGGUUUCUUAGUUUCUGAUGCAUAUACAGUUUUGCAGGUCCUCUGGAAUUGACUUGUUUGAUCAUAGUUUUUCUGGAGUUGGAGGUGAAGUUUCCAUGCUCCAGCCUCUGGUUCUCAUCAUGCUCUCCCUGGAGGCCUCCCUGACUUCCCAGCUCUCCUGAGAAAAAAUAAAAAAUAAAAACAGGAAAAGGAUGGUGGUCAGGCACAUGGCAACAUUUGGCAAGGCAGUUCCUGAACUCAGGAUCAGCGCCAUUGGGAACUCUUCUCUUGCUACUGGAGAAAGGAUCCAAGUUCUUGUGAUCUGUUACUACCGACAGAGAUGUUGAUGAAGGUACAGCAGGAGCAACCACAGGUGACACAACUCUUGCCCCUGCACAACGUGCUCUUGCCAUGGACACCAGGAGGGCAAUGUAGAACAAGAAUGCCAAGCCACUGCAAACGUCUCUUCUCAUCUCUGCUGCCAGCUCUUCCUCUCAAAGCCAAAUUCUGAGAGGAGGAACAAGGCAAUGGAUGCCUUAUUAGUCUGUGCAAAUUCUUAUACUGGGGGAUUUUGUUUUUCUUUUUUGGUCACCUUUAGUUUUGCUCUGGUGUCUUUUACUUUUAUCUUUGGAGUUUGGAAGUGAUUCUGUAUUGCUUUUGUGGGACUGCGAAGGGGGGAGGACAAAAGCAAGUAGGUACUGAACGUGAAGUAUUUAUUUGGAGCUCCCUUGCUUUGGGACCAGCUGGGCCCACCCAAUCCUUCUUGCCUUGGCACUGUCUCAAAAAUCAGAUCAGAUCGGAUGAGAGCUUAAUUUGGCAGUGCUUUAAAGAUUCAGUUGUGAAACAUGACUAUUGUUCAUCAAAAUUUACUGCUCUUUCUGUCAUUGUAAUCAAACCAAGGAUGAAGUUUAUGAAUAUCUAGUUUGAUGACUUUA